rnacentral:sRNA from 1 species
UUUAAAGGAAGGCAGUCGUUGCGACAUCGUGUCGCAACGACUGCAUGACCCACUUCGUGUGGG